AGUGAACGCUGGCGGUAGGCCUAACACAUGCAAGUCGAACGGCAGCACAGUAAGAGCUUGCUCUUACGGGUGGCGAGUGGCGGACGGGUGAGGAAUACAUCGGAAUCUACUUUUUCGUGGGGGAUAACGUAGGGAAACUUACGCUAAUACCGCAUACGACCUACGGGUGAAAGCAGGGGAUCUUCGGACCUUGCGCGAUUGAAUGAGCCGAUGUCGGAUUAGCUAGUUGGCGGGGUAAAGGCCCACCAAGGCGACGAUCCGUAGCUGGUCUGAGAGGAUGACCGGGCACAGGGGGACGGAGAGAGCGACCAGACGCAGAAGGGAGGCAGCAGUGGGGAAUAUGGCAAAACGGGCGGAGGGGGGAUGAAGCAACGCCGCGGGCGGGAUGACUGUCUUCGGGUAGUAAACCGCUGGCGACUGUGACGAAGCGUGAGGGACGGUAAUGGGUAAAGAAGCACCGGCUAACUACGUG
rnacentral:rRNA from 1 species